AACGAUGAAGCCCAGCUUGCUGGGUGGAUUAGUGGCGCACGGGUGAGUAAUAUAUAGAUAACGUGCCUCUUAGUCUGGGAUAGCCAUUGGAAACGAUGAUUAAUACCGGAUACUCCUUCUAACUCUAAUGUUAGUCGGGAAAGUUUUUCGCUAAGAGAUCGGUCUAUAUCCCAUCAGCUUGUUGGUAGUGUAAGAGACUACCAAGGCUAUGACGGGUAGCGGGUUUGAGAGGAUGAUCCGCCACACUGGUACUGAGACACGGACCAGACUCCUACGGGAGGCAGCAGUGAGGAAUAUUGCACAAUGGAGGAAACUCUGAUGCAGCAACGCCGCGUGGAGGAUGACGCAUUUCGGUGUGUAAACUCCUUUUAUAUGUCAAGAAAAUGACGGUAGCAUAUGAAUAAGCACCGGCUAACUCCGUGCCAGCAGCCGCGGUAAUACGGAGGGUGCAAGCGUUAUUCGGAAUCACUGGGCGUAAAGGACGCGUAGGCGGGUUGGAAAGUCAGAUGUGAAAUCCUACAGCUUAACUGUAGAACUGCAUUUGAAACUUCUAAUCUAGAGUAUGGGAGGGGGAGAUGGAAUUAGUGGUGUAGGGGUAAAAUCCGUAGAUAUCACUAGGAAUACCGAAAGCGAAGGCGAUCUCCUGGAACAUAACUGACGCUAAGGCGUGAAAGCGUGGGGAGCAAACAGGAUUAGAUACCCUGGUAGUCCACGCCCUAAACGAUGAACACUAGUCGUCGGGAUGCUAGUCAUCUCGGUGAUGCACUUAACAGAUUAAGUGUUCCGCCUGGGGAGUACGGUCGCAAGAUUAAAACUCAAAGGAAUAGACGGG
rnacentral:rRNA from 1 species